rnacentral:lncRNA from 1 species
GAAAGCGUCAACGCGAAGGACGCGUUGGCACGAGGACAGGAAGCGCGCUAUAUAAACGGGCCCGUUGGUCGUCAGGCAACACAGAACCAUCCUUUCUGCAAGUGCGCACAGAAGCCACCGUUGACCACAGUCAUGAUCGCCGUGAGCAGCAAAUCCUUCCUUCUCGCCCUCCUGGUGUUGGCUGUCGUCUGCAGUCUGGCAGCCGCCCAGUUCGGCUACGGCCGCGGCUUCGGAAGGGGCUAUGGCGGCUACGGUGGCUACGGCCGCGGCUUCGAAGGGUAUGGCCGCGGCUUCGGUGGAUACGGCCGUGGGUUCGGAGGCUAUGGACGCGGCUUCUACGGCUGAGCCCCGAUUGCAGAAGCAUGAUUGAGGACACGGAAACGCCCCAGAACAGCGGAGGCGCAGCUAGAUUAUUCAAGACAAAGAACGGAGCAAUAAAUAGUUUAUUUUGGCAGAGGGA